AGAGUUUGAUCAUGGCUCAGAUUGAACGCUGGCGGCAGGCCUAACACAUGCAAGUCGAACGGAAACAUGUCUAGCUUGCUAGAUGAUGUCGAGUGGCGGACGGGUGAGUAAUACUUAGGAACAUGCCUUUGGGUGGGGGAUAACUAUUGGAAACGAUAGCUAAUACCGCAUAACGUCUACGGACCAAAGGGGGGAGCUUGCUCCUCUCGCCCAAAGAGUGGCCUAAGCGAGAUUAGCUUGUUGGUGAGGUAAAGGCUCACCAAGGCGACGAUCUCUAGCUGUUCUGAGAGGAAGAUCAGCCACACUGGGACUGAGACACGGCCCAGACUCCUACGGGAGGCAGCAGUGGGGAAUAUUGCACAAUGGGGGCAACCCUGAUGCAGCCAUGCCGCGUGUGUGAAGAAGGCCUUCGGGUUGUAAAGCACUUUCAGUUGUGAGGAAAGUUUGAUGGUUAAUACCCAUUAGAUGUGACGUUAGCAACAGAAGAAGGACCGGCUAACUCCGUGCCAGCAGCCGCGGUAAUACGGAGGGUCCGAGCGUUAAUCGGAAUUACUGGGCGUAAAGCGCACGCAGGCGGUUUGUUAAGCUAGAUGUGAAAGCCCCGGGCUCAACCUGGGAAUAGCAUUUAGAACUGGCAGACUAGAGUCUUGGAGAGGGGAGUGGAAUUUCUGGUGUAGCGGUGAAAUGCGUAGAUAUCAGAAGGAACAUCAGUGGCGAAGGCGACUCCCUGGCCAAAGACUGACGCUCAUGUGCGAAAGUGUGGGUAGCGAACAGGAUUAGAUACCCUGGUAGUCCACACCGUAAACGCUGUCUACUAGCUGUUUGUGGAUUUAAUCCGUGGGUAGCGAAGCUAACGCGAUAAGUAGACCGCCUGGGGAGUACGGCCGCAAGGUUAAAACUCAAAUGAAUUGACGGGGGCCCGCACAAGCGGUGGAGCAUGUGGUUUAAUUCGAUGCAACGCGAAGAACCUUA
rnacentral:rRNA from 1 species